AAAUUGAAGAGUUUGAUCAUGGCUCAGAUUGAACGCUGGCGGCAGGCCUAACACAUGCAAGUCGAACGGUAGCACAGAGAGCUUGCUCUCGGGUGACGAGUGGCGGACGGGUGAGUAAUGUCUGGGAAACUGCCCGAUGGAGGGGGAUAACUACUGGAAACGGUAGCUAAUACCGCAUAACGUCGCAAGACCAAAGUGGGGGACCUUCGGGCCUCACACCAUCGGAUGUGCCCAGAUGGGAUUAGCUAGUAGGUGGGGUAACGGCUCACCUAGGCGACGAUCCCUAGCUGGUCUGAGAGGAUGACCAGCCACACUGGAACUGAGACACGGUCCAGACUCCUACGGGAGGCAGCAGUGGGGAAUAUUGCACAAUGGGCGCAAGCCUGAUGCAGCCAUGCCGCGUGUAUGAAGAAGGCCUUCGGGUUGUAAAGUACUUUCAGCGAGGAGGAAGGCGUUGUGGUUAAUAACCACAGCGAUUGACGUUACUCGCAGAAGAAGCACCGGCUAACUCCGUGCCAGCAGCCGCGGUAAUACGGAGGGUGCAAGCGUUAAUCGGAAUUACUGGGCGUAAAGCGCACGCAGGCGGUUUGUUAAGUCAGAUGUGAAAUCCCCGGGCUCAACCUGGGAACUGCAUUUGAAACUGGCAAGCUUGAGUCUCGUAGAGGGGGGUAGAAUUCCAGGUGUAGCGGUGAAAUGCGUAGAGAUCUGGAGGAAUACCGGUGGCGAAGGCGGCCCCCUGGACAAAGACUGACGCUCAGGUGCGAAAGCGUGGGGAGCAAACAGGAUUAGAUACCCUGGUAGUCCACGCCGUAAACGAUGUCUACUUGGAGGUUGUGCCCUUGAGGCGUGGCUUCCGGAGCUAACGCGUUAAGUAGACCGCCUGGGGAGUACGGCCGCAAGGUUAAAACUCAAAUGAAUUGACGGGGGCCCGCACAAGCGGUGGAGCAUGUGGUUUAAUUCGAUGCAACGCGAAGAACCUUACCUGGUCUUGACAUCCACGGAAGUUUUCAGAGAUGAGAAUGUGCCUUCGGGAACCGUGAGACAGGUGCUGCAUGGCUGUCGUCAGCUCGUGUUGUGAAAUGUUGGGUUAAGUCCCGCAACGAGCGCAACCCUUAUCCUUUGUUGCCAGCGGUU
rnacentral:rRNA from 2 species